rnacentral:lncRNA from 10 species
AGGGAGGGGACACCUACGCCAUCUGCUGGUGAGAAAGAGAACUGCGGGGAGGGGCUGCUUGGGCGAAGGCCGCCUCCAGCCAGCCGUGCCUACGGACACGUUUCGGCUCCAGUUCUCCCCUCUGGUUUGCCUCCAGCUCUUGCGGACAACAUCAGCCCUCUGGGGACUUGGACUGAUUCUCCAGUUAGCGCAUACCUGUCCCACUCCUGUCUGCAAGAUUUGGAGCCCUGUCUGUGCUUCCAGUUCAGACUUCACCAGCCCUGCAGGGAGGACAAAGGCCCCUCCAGCCACCUCCUUGCUCAAGCUGCUUUCUAGAUCUCGGCCACUGCCCUAGCAAGAUGCCAGCCCCACCUGAUGUUGAUGAAGCUGCCUGAGGACAUGUGCACAUGCUCAGCCAGGAUCUCCAGCAGCUUCACUCCUGCAGCCAGGCUCAGGGGCCUGGAGAUGGGAGAAGGCAGAGGAAGGAAAGUGGGGCAACCCUCUCAGUCACUUUCUUAAAACAGGCCACUCCAGGGGUACAGAGCAGCCUGCCAAUUCCCUGUCCCUGCACGUCUGGAUUUCUGCCCUCUGCUUCUGGCCAGGCAGGCCAGCCCAAAUCCUAGCAGACCAGAAAGCUUCCCAGGAUGCAGCCCUUACUUCUGAUCAGUGACGAUGUAGCCAUAUUCCUCUGCUGCUGGGCGGGCUGAGGGCUGUCCUGCCACCGUGGGCUGGCUCUGGCCCAGUGGGCUUUUCUUCUCUAGCAGGACAGGUGUCACAGGGGGUCUGGCAGCUUUGGGAGGCUCAGAGGAGACAGGGCUUGGCACCUGCUGGACUUCACUGGAGGGACCACUGCAGUGCUGGGUACAGAGAGGACACCAGAGCAUCUGAGACAAGUACAGCUAUUGGAGCCAGACCACCUGGGUUUGAAUCCUGCCUUUGCUACUGAUGAAUUAUGUAACCUUGGGCAAGUUGCUGAACCUCUCCAAGCCUCAAUUCCCUCAUCAAUAAAAUGGGGAUUUAUACCUCCUAGGAUUGUUAUUAUCAUUAAAAUAACACAUAUACAUAUCAAACGGUUAGAAUAGUGCCUG